UACGGGGGGGGCAAGCGUUGUUCGGAAUUACUGGGCGUAAAGGGCUCGUAGGCGGCCAACUAAGUCAGACGUGAAAUCCCUCGGCUUAACCGGGGAACUGCGUCUGAUACUGGAUGGCUGGAGUUUGGGAGAGGGAUGCGGAAUUCCAGGUGUAGCGGUGAAAUGCGUAGAUAUCUGGAGGAACACCGGUGGCGAAGGCGGCAUCCUGGACCAAUACUGGACGCUGAGGAGCGAAAGCCAGGGGAGCAAA
rnacentral:rRNA from 1 species